rnacentral:rRNA from 1 species
GAACCAACCGGGAUUGCCUUAGUAACGGCGAGUGAAGCGGCAAAAGCUCAAAUUUGAAAUCUGGUACCUUCGGUGCCCGAGUUGUAAUUUGGAGAGGGCAACUUUGGGGCCGUUCCUUGUCUAUGUUCCUUGGAACAGGACGUCAUAGAGGGUGAGAAUCCCGUGUGGCGAGGAGUGCGGUUCUUUGUAAAGUGCCUUCGAAGAGUCGAGUUGUUUGGGAAUGCAGCUCUAAGUGGGUGGUAAAUUCCAUCUAAAGCUAAAUAUUGGCGAGAGACCGAUAGCGAACAAGUACAGUGAUGGAAAGAUGAAAAGAACUUUGAAAAGAGAGUGAAAAAGUACGUGAAAUUGUUGAAAGGGAAGGGCAUUUGAUCAGACAUGGUGUUUUGUGCCCUCUGCUCCUUGUGGGUAGGGGAAUCUCGCAUUUCACUGGGCCAGCAUCAGUUUUGGUGGCAGGAUAAAUCCAUAGGAAUGUAGCUUGCCUCGGUAAGUAUUAUAGCCUGUGGGAAUACUGCCAGCUGGGACUGAGGACUGCGACGUAAGUCAAGGAUGCUGGCAUAAUGGUUAUAUGCCGCCCGUCUUGAAACACGGACCUCCUGUGUGAAG